rnacentral:rRNA from 1 species
CCUACGGGGGGCAGCAGUGGGGAAUAUUGCACAAUGGGGGAAACCCUGAUGCAGCGACGCCGCGUGAGUGAAGAAGUAAUUCGUUAUUUAAAGCUCUAUCAGCAGGGAAGAAAAUGACGGUACCUGAGUAAGAAGCCGCGGCUUACUACGAGCCAGCAGCCGCGGUAAUACGUCGGGGGCAGCGGGUAUCCGGAUUUACUGGGUGUUAAGGGGGAGUAGGCGGGAGUGCAAGUCUGGAGUGAAAGGCGGGGGCUCAACCCCCGGACUGCUCUUGAAACUGGAAGGCUGGAGUGCAGGAGAGGUAAGUGGAAUUCGUAGUGUAGCGGUGAAAUGCGUAGAUAUUAGGAAGAACACCAGUGGCGAAGGCAGCUUACUGGAGUGUAACUGACGCUGAGGCACGAAAGCGUGGGGAGCGAACAGGAUUAGAUACCCUAGUAGUC